AGAUGUGAGGGUGAUCUGGCUGCGGCAUCUGUCACCCACUGAUCGUCAGGGUUGAUCUGGCUGAUCUGGCUGGCUGGGCAGGUGUCCCCUUUCUCCCUCACUACUCUGUGUGCAUCCCUCCCGAAGCUGCGUGCUUGGUCAAAGAGGACGACCUUCUCCGAAUAGAGGAGGACCCAUCAAGGGUAUACAAGUAGCUGCGCUCCCCUGCUAGAACCUCCAAACAAGCUCCCAAGAAUUAAAGAAGCCAGGCGUGGUGGCGCACACCUUUAAUCUCAGCACUCAGAAGGCAGAGGUAGGAGGAUCACUG
rnacentral:snRNA from 1 species